GCUUACCAAGGCGACGAUCAGUAGCCGACCUGAGAGGGUGAUCGGCCACAUUGGAACUGAGACACGGUCCAAACUCCUACGGGAGGCAGCAGUGGGGAAUAUUGCACAAUGGGCGAAAGCCUGAUGCAGCAACGCCGCGUGAGUGAUGAAGGCCUUCGGGUCGUAAAACUCUGUCCUCAAGGAAGAUAAUGACGGUACUUGAGGAGGAAGCCCCGGCUAACUACGUGCCAGCAGCCGCGGUAAUACGUAGGGGGCUAGCGUUAUCCGGAUUUACUGGGCGUAAAGGGUGCGUAGGCGGUCUUUCAAGUCAGGAGUGAAAGGCUACGGCUCAACCGUAGUAAGCUCUUGAAACUGGGAGACUUGAGUGCAGGAGAGGAGAGUGGAAUUCCUAGUGUAGCGGUGAAAUGCGUAGAUAUUAGGAGGAACACCAGUUGCGAAGGCGGCUCUCUGGACUGUAACUGACGCUGAGGCACGAAAGCGUGGGGAGCAAACAGGAUUAGAUACCCUGGUAGUCCACGCUGUAAACGAUGAGUAC
rnacentral:rRNA from 1 species